GAUGAAGAACGCAGCGAUACGCGAUAAGUAAUGUGAAUUGCAGAAUCCAGUGAAUCAUCGAAUCUUUGAACGCACAUUGCGCCCGCCAGCAUUCUGGCGGGCAUGCCUGUUCGAGCGUCAUUUCAACCCUCGACCUCCCCUUGGGGAGGUCGGCGUUGGGGACCGGCAGCACACCGCCGGCCCUGAAAUGGAGUGGCGGCCCGUCCGCGGCGACCUCUGCGCAGUAAUACAGCUCGCACCGGGACCCCGACGCGGCCACGCCGUAAAACACCCAACUUCUGAACGUUGACCUCGAAUCAGGUAGGACUACCCGCUGAACUUAAGCAUAUCAAUAAGGGAGGA
rnacentral:misc_RNA from 1 species